UGGGGAAUCUUGGACAAUGGGGGCAACCCUGAUCCAGCCAUGCCGCGUGAGUGAUGAAGGCCUUAGGGUCGUAAAGCUCUUUCGCCUGUGAAGAUAAUGACGGUAGCAGGUAAAGAAACCCCGGCUAACUCCGUGCCAGCAGCCGCGGUAAUACGGAGGGGGUUAGCGUUGUUCGGAAUUACUGGGCGUAAAGCGCACGUAGGCGGACCAGAAAGUUGGGGGUGAAAUCCCGGGGGCUCAACCCCGGAACUGCCUCCAAAACUAUUGGUCUAGAGUUCGAGAGAGGUGAGUGGAAUUCCAAGUGUAGAGGUGAAAUUCGUAGAUAUUUGGAGGAACACCAGUGGCGAAGGCGGCUCACUGGCUCGAUACUGACGCUGAGGUGCGAAAGUGUGGGGAGCAAACAGGAUUAGAUACCCUGGUAGUCCACACCGUAAAACGAUGAAUGCCAGUCGUCGGGUAGCAUGCUAUUCGGUGACACACCUAACGGAUUAAGCAUCCG
rnacentral:rRNA from 1 species